rnacentral:rRNA from 1 species
GCUGUAUAUGCACUGACGCCUGCCCGGUGCCGGAAGGUUAAGAGGAUCCGUCAACUCUUCGGAGCGAAGCGGUGAAUUCAAGCCCCGGUAAACGGCGGUGGUAACUAUAACCAUCCUAAGGUAGCGAAAUUCCUUGUCGGGUAAGUUCCGACCUGCACGAAUGGCGUAACGACUUCCCCACUGUCUCGACCAGGAGCUCGGCGAAAUUGCAGUACGAGUAAAGAUGCUCGUUAAGCGCAGAAGGACGAAAAGACCCCGGGACCUUUACUAUACCUUGGUAUUGGCGUUAGGCGCGGAUUGUGUAGCAUAGGCGGGAGGCUUCGAAGCGUGGGCGCCAGCUCAUGUGGAGCCGCAAGGUGAAAUACCGCUCUGUUCUCGUUUGACGUCUAACCUCGACAAGUCAUCCUUGUCAGGGACAGUGCCUGGCGGGUAGUUCAACUGGGGCGGUUGCCUCCCAAAGAGUAACGGAGGCGCUCAAAGGUCCGCUCAGCCCGGUUGGCAAUCGGGUGUCGAGUGUAAUCGCACAAGCGGGCUUGACUGCGAGGACGACGGUCCGAGCAGGGACGAAAGUCGGAGAUAGUGAUCCGGUGCCGGCGCACGGGCGCGGCAUCGCUCAACGGAUAAAAGGUACCCCGGGGAUAACAGGCUGAUCAUUCCCAAGAGUCCAUAUCGACGGGAUGGUUUGGCACCUCGAUGUCGGCUCGUCGCAUCCUGGGGCUGGAGCAGGUCCCAAGGGUUCGGCUGUUCGCCGAUUAAAGCGGCACGCGAGCUGGGUUCAGAACGUCGUGAGACAGUUUGGUCUCUAUCCUCUGCGCUCGUUGGAAUCCUGAGGAGGCCUGCCCAUAGUACGAGAGGACCUGGGUGGACGAACCUCUGGUAUGCCGGUUGUCGCGCCAGCGGCACGGCCGGUUGGCUACGUUCGGGAGGGAUAACCGCUGAAAGCAUCUAAGCGGGAAGCCUGCUCCAAGAUUAGGAUUCCGUACGGUCUUGAACCGUUGUAGCCCGCAUGUUGAACACGUGUUUGAUAGGCCGGAGGUGGAAGCCCCGUGAGGGGUGGAGCCGACCGGUACUAACGGGCGACGGCGACACAAC